CACUGUGAAGCUAAACAGCAUUAACCUUUUAAGUUAAAGAUUGAGAAAUUAAUUUCUCCACAGUGA
rnacentral:tRNA from 1 species